GCUGCGCCCCGCUUGGCAGCUCGCGGGCUGUCAGGCUCGGGGAGGAGGAGGGGGCGGGGUGAAGCGGGAAGGGAGGCCGGCAGGGGCUGGGUGGGGAGCGGCCGCCGCGCACCGGGGGUCACGCCGCCCCCGCGGCCCGGGCUGCGGCGAGGGGCCGCGGGAGCUCGCGGCGGCCGGUUGGAGACCCGCGGCGGAGGCGCCGGGCGCCGCGCGGGCCGAGCAUUCCGGGGAGCUGGGAUGCGGCGAUCCCCGCGGCGGAGUCGGAGUUGGUGCGUGUCACCCUCUGCUGCGCGGCGCGGCUCCUCCUAGAGGAAAAUAUUGGUAGUUGCAGGACGCUCCCUCUCCGCCCACCCCGCUCCCAAAAAGAAGGCAGGACCUAAAAGAGCAAGAAGUGCAGUCAACAGAUCGAAAGGAACGCUCAAAAGAAAAGUGAACUCUCUGCGGGAACUGGGGGCGAGGGGGCAGCUCGGAAAGCGUGAUUAGCCAACCAAACAUUGCCACCUGCAACCAGUUUCCAAACUGUUGCUCCCUGGGUUUGAAAGGAUCGUUAAAAGUAGAGAAGAUCUUACUUUAGAGGUUGGAAAACAGAGACAGAGAGGAAUCGAAGAAGUGGAAAAUUCUGUUCCUUAGAGUCCUUUUUGAGUCUCAGCUGUGGCUCAACGUCUCAACUGUCUCCAGGCAAAGAAAGACAGAAUGAGAGGAGGAGGAAGAAAGAUUCUGGAAGGGAGAGAGAGGGAACAUGAAUGGGAGGUACAGAGAAGAGGGGGAGAGAAUCUCAAGUAGACUCCAUACUGACUGCAGAGCCCAAUGUGGGGCCUGAGAUCAUGACCUGACCAGAAACCAAGAGUGGAGCACUCAAGUGAUUGGGCCACCCCGGCACCCCAAGAAAUUCUUUUUCAACCAAGUCAUAUUAAGGGCAUUCCUUUGCUCAAAACUCCCCAAUGGUUCUCCAUUUAAAUCAGAGUAAAAGUCAAAAUGAUCCAUGACACCUCAUGUACUUAUUGCUCUCCCCAUCAUUCAGUCACCCAUUCUGCUCCAGACACACUGGCCAGGUACACUCCUCACUUAAUGUCUCCCUCUGUCUUAGAUCUCUGCCCCCAGAGAUCCUCCCUCACUUCUUAAAGUCUCACUCAAACAUUACUUUGUCAAUGGGUCCCUUCUUAGCCAACCUAUUUCACCCUAUUAUAGCCCACCCUUCCCCUACCCUAUCGCACACCUCUACUACAGCUUGGCUGAAAAUAUAAACUGCAUUGUAAAGACAAUAAAACUGAGUCUUACAUGAUUCAGAUUAUGCAUAUUCAAGUGUAAAUAUCUAGGUCAGAUGGUAUCUUUCCAAACCACAACUCCACUGUAUAAGGUCCUAUGUCUGAAGUUAUUUAGGA